rnacentral:tRNA from 1 species
GCCUCAAUAGUAUAAUGGUUAGUACAAUGCCCUGUCGCGGCAUGGACCCGGGUUCAAUCCCCGGUUGAGGCG